ACGUGGAUAAUCUGCCCUCAGAUGAAGAAUAAUCCCGGGAAACUGGGGCUAAUGCUUCAUAGGAGACGGGUGCUGGAAUGCUCUGUCUCUGAAAGGUCCGCCGUCUGAGGAUGAGUCUGCGUCCGAUUAGGUUGUUGUUGGGGUAACGGCCCACCAAGCCUUUGAUCGGUACGGGUUGUGGGAGCAAGAGCCCGGAGAUGGAUUCUGAGACAUGAAUCCAGGCCCUACGGGGCGCAGCAGGCGCGAAAACUUUACAAUGCGAGCAAUCGUGAUAAGGAAACCCUGAGUGCCUGUUAUCGCAGGCUGUUCUGGUGUCUAACACACACCAGGAGAAAGGGCGGGGCAAGACCGGUGCCAGCCGCCGCGGUAAUACCGGCUGCUCGAGUGAUAGCCACUUUUACUGGGCUUAAAGCGUUCGUAGCUUGGUCGUUAAGUCUCUGGGGAAAUCUUUUGGCUCAACCAAAAGGCGUCUCAGGGAAACUGGCGACCUAGGAACCGGGAGAGGUAAGACGUACUUCGGGGGUAGGAGUGAAAUCUUGUAAUCCCCGA
rnacentral:rRNA from 1 species